rnacentral:misc_RNA from 1 species
GAACUGCGAUAACUGAUGUGAAACGCAAGCUUCGUGAAUCAUCGAGUCUUUGAACGCAAAUGGCGCUCGGGCCUUCUGGACCGAGCAUGUCUGUUUGAGGGUCAGUUAUACCAGAUCUUUCCUUUUUUUCCCCUUGUGGGAAAAGCGGAGAGGACGAUGGGCGUCUUCUUUCUUCGGUCAUACGAAGAAAACGCCUGAAACACAUGUGGACCAUUAUAUCUGUGGAGAACACAAAAGAACCGUUCGAGAACGAGCAAAAGCCAGCUGUUGGAAAACGGGGCCUCGACCCACACCGAGGCCACUCCAAACCGUUUUCAUUCGUGACAGCAUCAACGUGCUCUGCUCACCAAAAGUUCUUGAAUCCGGCGUCUUGUUUUCUUCCUACAUUUACAACAAUGAC